CAGUCCACGCCGUAAACGAUGAUUACUCGCUGUAGGCGAUACACAGUCUGUGGCUAAGCGAAAGUUUUAAGUAAUCCACCUGGGGAGUACGAUCGCAAGAUUGAAACUCAAAGGAAUUGACGGGGGCCCGCACAAGCGGAGGAACAUGUGGUUUAAUUCGAUGAUACGCGAGGAACCUUACCUGGACUUAAAUGUACGUUGCAUAGAUUGGAGACAGUCUUUUCUUCGGACUACGUACAAGGUGCUGCAUGGUUGUCGUCAGCUCGUGCCGUGAGGUGUCGGGUUAAGUCCCAUAACGAGCGCAACCCCUAUCCUUAGUUGCCAGCGGGUGAUGCCGGGGACUCUGAGGAGACUGCCACCGUAAGGUGUGAGGAAGGUGGGGAUGACGUCAAAUCAGCACGGCCCUUAUGUCCAGGGCUGCACACGUCCUACAAUGCAACGUACAAAGCGAAGCGAAAUCGCGAGAUCAAGCAAACCGCACAAAACGUUGCUCAGUUCGGAUUGC
rnacentral:rRNA from 1 species